UAAUUUUCCCAAAACUUAAGUAAGACAAUUUUGUUAUGGCAUCUGAAUCUGAAUUGCAUAACAUAACUUAAGAUCAGGAUCUAUUCCAUAAUACAGAUAAUUAAACACAAGUUAGCGGAAUCAUUAAACCAAUAACCAAGGCUUUUCCUAGUUGCACUAGGGCAUUACCAUAAGAACCAGCAUUGAUCGGGAUACCAUUGAUGGUUGUCAUCCUCGUCAGUAGGAUAAUAGCAACAACACAGUAACAAUAGCGACACAACCUGCAAAUACACAAACACAGAAGCAGAGAAUAUCUUCUAUGCUAUACCACUUCUUUCUAACAUAAUGGACUAUUUAACCUCAAUGAAUAGCGUAAUUAAUACAUGGACAUUCUACUGAUAAAUAUACAGUUCCCAUCUAAAGUGGGACGCCGCUUUGAAAUUAAAGUGUGGUGCUCAUCAUUUUGCUCACUUUUAGGUCACAUUUUCAUAUCUCCACCAUUAAGUGUCUAGAACAUAGUAUGUAGAUCAUUCAUGUAAAGUUUCAUCCAAUUUGAAGAUCAUUUGGGUACAGAAUUAGAUUAAAUGAAUCAAAUGAACAAAAUCUGUCCAAAUGGAACCGUUCGUGUAAAUCACAAUUACGGAAGGUCAAAUUAUCUUCAAAUUGGAUGAAACUUUGCAUAAAUGAUCUACAAACUAUGUUCUAGACACUGAAUGGUGGAGAUGUACGUGAAAAUGUGACCUAAAAGUGAGCGAAAUGAUGAGCACCACACUUUAAUUUCAAAGCGGUGUCCCACUGGAAUGGGAUUAUAUAUAUAUAUAUAUAUAUAUAUAUAUAUAUA
rnacentral:lncRNA from 1 species